CCUACGGGAGGCAGCAGUGAGGAAUAUUGGUCAAUGGACGAGAGUCUGAACCAGCCAAGUAGCGUGAAGGAUGACUGCCCUAUGGGUUGUAAACUUCUUUUAUAUGGGAAUAAAAUGUUCCACGUGUGGGAUUUUGUAUGUACCAUAUGAAUAAGGAUCGGCUAACUCCGUGCCAGCAGCCGCGGUAAUACGGAGGAUCCGAGCGUUAUCCGGAUUUAUUGGGUUUAAAGGGAGCGUAGGUGGAUUGUUAAGUCAGUUGUGAAAGUUUGCGGCUCAACCGUAAAAUAGCAGUUGAAACUGGCAGUCUUGAGUACAGGAGAGGUGGGCGGAAUGCGUGGUGUAGCGGUGAAAUGCUUAGAUAUCGCGAAGAACUCCGAUUGCGAAGGCAGUUCACUGGACUGCAACUGACACUGAGGCACGAAAGUGUGGGUAUCAAACAGGAUUAGAUACCCCAGUAGUC
rnacentral:rRNA from 1 species